rnacentral:lncRNA from 1 species
GUGGAUAACAAAUCACAAGGCUGUGUAAAAUACAAGGUCCCAGGCAAUGAUGCCUCAUAUUUAAUACGUACUGCAGCAGUGCCACAGCUCAGUUACCCUUUGCUGUGCUAACAGCAGUGCACCUAAUGCUGUUUGCAUGUUAGCCUGUAUUGACAUGUGCCUGCAAUAGGGCACCUAGGUCCCUUAAUGAUCUACACCACCACCAGUCCCACUGCGUAGGAAAACGAGGUUGUCAAGGAAUCAGCACAGGAAUUUAUAUCCUAGCUGGGGGGGAGCAAAGCCAUUUGGAGUCAGCUGCUAGAAAACACAUGUUGUGGAGGUGUGUUUCAAGAGGCACUUGACUUGCAAGAGGGCUUCACAAGGGACUUGCAACCUUGUUGUAGGAAAGUGAGCACCAAACCAUCUUCUGAGGCAGAGAAAACUGCCACCGUAUGUGCAUUGCUUACUUUGAUCUCGUCUCUUCCUUGAGAAUGAAGAAUUAAUCUAUACAGGAUACAGUCCUAACUGUAUGGGAUUUAAUUGUGAGUGAAUAUAAAUGCAGAUCACAUUAGGAGUAACAUGUUGACAAGUCUCCAGAAGAACAUGGAAUCUUAAAUGAAAGAAUGAAGCUUUUGCGGAGCUAGGAAUGUGAAUUUCCUAAGAAACUUUCAGCGUCCUUGUAAAUUACUGUCCAGGCACAGUUGAGAAUAUCAGUCUACAUGCUUUCUAACUUUUCCUAAUUCUGAAGUUAUCUGACUGAGCUUUAUGAAUGACCACUCUGCAAAUGUUUUCCCAAAACAUUUUGCUUGAUGGAAAAAUAAAAGCUCUUGCACAUUGCUCA